AUGGUAGAACAAGUUGCAGUAGGUGCGCCAUCAUAUGUUGUUGAUGAAGAUCACAUAUAUUCUCUGCUUGCUUCUAUGAACACAUGCAUUCGAUGGGUUGCAUGGAUUGGAGCAAUGCUGGUUGUGGGGAGCUCCAGGCCAGGAGACGACACAGACGAAGACCCGCCUUGCAACGGUGUUAUCUUGCUAGGCUGGCAUAAUGAGGACCAAGAGGCACAACCAGAAGCUAGCAGAGACGGUGUCCGUGCAAGCCAACGCCAGAAAUCCCGUACCCAUUUUGUUGAUGUGGUGACAAACUGA
rnacentral:rRNA from 1 species